ACACAUAUAUCCCUUUGGCAAGAGUUGAUGAUGAUAAUGAUGAUAUGCUUUUAUGAAUAAUGUUUAGAUUAAAAAAUUGAUGUGGAUGAAGUUUCAAUUUUGUACUGUUCUUUUAAUGUGAUUGAAUCUCUGCCUAGUCACUGCAAUCGUUUAAUUGACUGAUAAGUACUGAUUAAAGGUUUUGUUAAUCAUUCCCUGGAACUUGCCAUGACUUUACACCACUAAAUGGUUCCUUAGAAGAGAAUUUAAUGGGAACUUUACUACAAUACAUUUAAGAGUCACAAUGUAAUGGUUAGAAGACAAGACUUUCAUAUACUGAUUUUCAAUAGUGUGGCCAGAAUUAUGUAUAUGUUUUGAUUAAUCCAAUUAGGUAUUCCUUAACCUUAAUCUAGUUCUUACUGCUCUUGUGUAACAGGAUCUCAUUUUGGGGCCGCGGUUUUGCACGAAUUGGAAAAAUUCCUGUACAUUCAUUAGGACUUCCAUCUCUUCCAUCUCUUAUUUCUUUUUAAUAUCUGUUAGUAGUUGAGGUAGUAGUGAUAGUUUAGAAAAUAGUUAGAUAGUGUAGAAUGCUUAGUUGGAUACAUUACAAAUGAGCCAUGGUUACAUAUUUAUAGGUGUGGAUGGCAUAUUCUAGAUCCUUUAUUCUAGAUCAUUCAUGAUAUGUCCUAGUACUUACUUAUUCUACUAACUACUCAAGUAAUCUAGAAAGUUCUACAAGUUUACAACAUCACUUAAUAACUAUUAAUUAUUCUACAACUUUCUAAUGAAUUCUAGUAAAUUCUAGAAAUGUGCAUCAUAUUCUAACACUCCUCCUUGAUGCAUAUUUCGGUAACUCUAACCAUAGUUCAUCGUUGCUCAAAACUUGUUCUAUCCGAAUCCUCGUUUGAUGAGACAGUGAUCAAUUCCAUUGUACCAUUCUCGAUGAGCUUUCUUGAGUCCAUAUAAAGGUUUUCUUAGUCUUGGAAGUUUUUCUUGAUUGUCUUUUGUCCAUAGUUGUUGUUUUGACGCCACUUGAUAACUUUUAGAAUCAAGCAUGGAAAAGUUGCAGGUUUCAGAUAUAUCCUCCGGUGAUUUUACCCGCGUUGGAGUAGAUUCUGGUGAAUAAAUCUCUUGUUGUGAAGGUGAAAGUAGCGUACCUGGUUCUUCUAUUGCGUGUUCCAUAUCCUCUAUGUCUGAUUGUCGUAUUGGAGUAUAUUUGAAGUUUAUUGGAAAGCUUCUAUUCCUUUUGUCCNNNNNNNNNNNNNNNNNNNNNNNNNNNNNNNNNNNNNNNNNNNNNNNNNNNNNNAAUGUUAAUGAAUUGUUUAGAUGAUAACACAUAUAUCCCUUUGGCAAGAGUUGAUGAUGAUAAUGAUGAUAUGCUUUUAUGAAUAAUGUUUAGAUUAAAAAAUUGAUGUGGAUGAAGUUUCAAUUUUGUGACUGUUCUUUUAAUGUGAUUGAAUCUCUGCCUAGUCACUGCAAUCGUUUAAUUGACUGAUAAGUACUGAUUAAAGGUUUUGUUAAUCAUUCCCUGGAACUUGCCAUGACUUUACACCACUAAAUGGUUCCUUAGAAGAGAAUUUAAUGAGAACUUUACUACAAUACAUUUAAGAGUCACAAUGUAAUGGUUAGAAGACAGGACUGUCAUAUACUGAUUUUCAAUAGUGUGGCCAGAAUUAUGUAUAUGUUUUGAUUAAUCCAAUUAGGUAUUCCUUAACCUUAAUCUAGUUCUUACUGCUCUAGUGUAACAGGAUCUCAUUUUGGGCCCGCGGUUUUACACGAACUGGAAAAAUUCCUGUACAUUCAUUAGGACUUCCAUCUCUUCCAUCUCUUAUUUCUUUUUAAUAUCAUUGAAGAUUUUGUGGUUGCAUUCUCAGUUCUAUUUAUUUUACCGUGUUUUUACACGCUCGAUGGGAGCUUAGAGAGAUUU
rnacentral:lncRNA from 1 species